rnacentral:rRNA from 2 species
CUUGGCCGACCCUGUGGCGAGCUCGAGUAACGUUGAGCCGUCGCAACGCGCGCAAAGGAGUGGGCACCGACGGUGCUUAAGGUACGUGCUAUCCGCUGGGUAACCAGUCUC